rnacentral:rRNA from 1 species
GACGAACGCUGGCGGCGUGCUUAACACAUGCAAGUCGAACGGAAAGGCCCGGCUUUUGUGGGGUGCUCGAGUGGCGAACGGGUGAGUAACACGUGAGUAACCUGCCCUUGACUUUGGGAUAACUUCAGGAAACUGGGGCUAAUACCGGAUAGGAGCUCCUGCUGCAUGGGGGGGGUUGGAAAGUUUCGGCGGUUGGGGAUGGACUCGCGGCUUAUCAGCUUGUUGGUGGGGUAGUGGCUUACCAAGGCUUUGACGGGUAGCCGGCCUGAGAGGGUGACCGGCCACAUUGGGACUGCGAUACGGCCCAGACUCCUACGGGAGGCAGCAGUGGGGAAUAUUGCACAAUGGGCGGAAGCCUGAUGCAGCAACGCCGCGUGCGGGAUGACGGCCUUCGGGUUGUAAACCGCUUUCGCCUGUGACGAAGCGUGAGUGACGGUAAUGGGUAAAGAAGCACCGGCUAACUACGUG